UCGCUCUCAUUUUGGACACGGCCGCA
rnacentral:sRNA from 1 species